CGAUUAAGCAGGUAAUAUAUAAAAGCAAGAAUACACCGACAAACGAUUUAGUGUUCUCUCUCUUGCGUCUUCUCUCUCGUGUCUUCUCUCUCAAAUUGAAAACCUAGUGGGUGUUCCUUCUUUUACUUCAAAAUCCUAAACGAUGCAUCUCUGCAAUGCUUGGCUUCCACCACCGAUGGCCCAAGAGAGAGAACAACUCAUUCUCUCGGGUCGUGUGCUUCGUCAAUAACUGCUUCAAACCUGAUGACCUAGAUUUUGUCUACUCUACUCUCAAAUGGAUCUCUAUCAUCAACCUCUGAUAAACGGGUAUGGGGGUCUGCUAGAUGAGAAGAGUAUAGCCUAAUCACAGCAACCGAAGGCCUCAGAAAGAUCACACAUAGUGAUGUACCCCUUUCCUACUAUACAGGACUUUGGUAUGUUGUUUGCUUAUUCUAUAAAGAUUGGAAUAACUUGAGAUUUAGACAAAGGUGAUUAUGCUACAUACCCUUUUGAUAUGCAUGUCUCAAAGAGUAGUUUCAUUAAUUUAAGAUCUACUUUGAUUUUGUGGGCAUCUUGUUCAAUUCUCCAUGUAAAUGUACACUAAUCUUCUAACUUUGGCUUUUCAUUUUAAAAAAGGUAUGCCUGGUAUGACCACCUAUGCUGGAUUCAUGAAGUUUGUUCUCCUUAGAAAGGAGAAUAUGUCUUCAUUUCAGCAGCAUCUGGUGCUGUUGGCCAGCUUGUUGGACAAUUUGCAAAAUUAUUGGGUUGUUACGUAGUUGGGAGUGCUGGAAGUAAAGAAAAGGUAUAUUCUAUUUGGAUAUAUACUUUUUAGUACUCACUGGCCCUUCUUUAUCUACAAGCUGCUCUUUAUCUGAAUUCCACAUUGAUCAAUUCGGACAAGAUGGAAUCUUCCUUCCCCAUAAACCCUACUCAAAAACAGUCCUUUUCUCCUUCCGUGAUUGUGGAGUGGGCUGGUAGGAUGAAUGUACCAUUCACAAAAGAAGUUAAAAAAAAAAACUAUUUUUAAGCAUGAAAUACUCAUCUUUUUUCUGUGAUGAAUUAGGUUGAUCUAUUGAAAAAUAAGUUUGGUUUUGAUGAUGCUUUCAAUUAUGCUGCUUUGAAAAGGUCAUUAUGUCAUAUGCAUAAUAGGAGUUUAAAAUUGUAAUCUGAAGCUUGAAGGACAUACAGGUUCCUUGGCAGAUUAAGUUGUUCCUUUUUAGCAUUGUGUAAUAUUUUAACAAACUGGAAGGGCCAUUACUUGAUAUGACACCACAUUUUUCAGGUGGUCAAUAGUUCUCCGAUUCACUAAUCUUCGAACUUUUUCUCUUUCCUCUUUCAGGUUACCCAAGAGUAUAAUAAUUGAAGAUGGCAUUGAACUCAGGCUUACAUGGAAUGAUGAUAGACCCCAUUUUGUGUCUGUACAUCUAAUGAAGAGGGUCAGAUAAAAUAUUAGUUUGUUGCCUUACUCUUGGAGUUAGAACCUGUUUGUAACCUGCAAAAUGGUUUAUUUGGCAUCAAACUUUCUCUAUGUACAAUUUUAUCUAAAGAAAAAGUGCUUAGUUACUCAUAUUA